rnacentral:rRNA from 1 species
GCUGGAAUGCCCUGUAACCAAAAGCUCCGGCGCCCUAGGAUGGAUCUGCGGCCGAUUAGGUUGUUGUUGGGGUAACGGCCCAACAAGCCCGUAAUCGGUACGGGUUGUGGGAGCAAGAGCCCGGAGUUGGAUUCUGAGACACGAAUCCAGGCCCUACGGGGCGCAGCAGGCGCGAAAACUUUACAAUGCGGGAAACCGUGAUAAGGGAACCUCGAGUGCCUGUAUAUGCAGGCUGUCCAGGUAUCUAAAAAACACCUGAAGAAAGGGCCGGGCAAGACCGGUGCCAGCCGCCGCGGUAAUACCGGCGGCUCGAGUGGUGGCCACUUUUAUUGGGCUUAAAGCGUUCGUAGCUGGGUUGUUAAGUUUCUUGGGAAAUCUGACGGCUCAACCGUCAGGCGUCCAAGGGAUACUGGCAAUCUUGGAACCGGGAGAGGUGAGGGGUACUUCGGGGGUAGGAGUGAAAUCCUGUAAUCCUCGAGGGACCACCUGUGGCGAAGGCGCCUCACCAGAACGGCUUCGACAGUGAGGGACGAAAGCUGGGGGAGCAAACCGGAUUAGAU